GGAUUAAUGUCUUCCUCAAUAAAUGAUUAGUUUAGAAUUUAAUGAAAAAUGGCGUCUUUAACAAAAGCUGUACAAAUUUCAAAAUUGGUGAACAAUGUGACAAAACUUAUUACAAACUUAUCAUUAUCCAAUAAUAUUAAUUUAGUUUCUAACACUAGGUUUAUUCGAAGAUUACCUAUGCAACCAUGUGCACUAUUGCAUGCUUCAUCAACAAAAUAUGAUUUAAUGGAGUUCUUUGAUGACACAAUUAAUUGGGGUAAAGAUGAAGUAAAAGUUGGACGUUCAUGGAGGAUGGAUGAAUUAAGAUUAAAAAGUAAUGAAGAUCUUCACAAGUUAUGGUUCGUGUUAUUAAAGGAGCGUAAUAUGCUCUUAACGAUGGAAGAAGCAUGCAAAAGAAAAUAUAAGAUUUUUCCAAAUCCUGAACGAAUAGAUAAAGUUGAAAUGAGUAUGUCAAAUUUAGAAUCUGUAAUUCGUGAAAGAAAUAAAGCUUAUCAUUUACUUGAAACUGGAGAAACAGGAGAACGUCCAGGGAGAUUUGUAUACAAUGCGCUUGGUUAUAAAUUUUAUUAUCGUAUGCGUGAAUAUCGUAUACCACAAUUUAUGAACAGCAAAUGGUAUAAAAAACAUUUCUUUGGAUAUCAGGGUUAUGCAGUACGCAAAUUUCUACGAUUGUAUAGAGAAAAAUUAUGGAAUAUUAAACGGAAAGCAAGAAACCGCGAUUUUCAGCAAGCUUUAGUCUUGCUCAGAAGAUUCCCAAAUAUGGAUAUUAAUGCAUUCAAAGAGAAAUAUCCAUCUGUAGAUAUAGAAAAAGCAAAACGCUAUAAAAAAUCACAAGGACAUUUUGUAUCUUAAUGCAAUAAUCAUUAUUUUAUGAAAGUAUAACCUAUAAUAAUUUAAUUAAUUGUAAAUUAUAACAACUUUAUUGUAUAUUAAUAAAAGUAAGAUUAAAAGUCCUAACAUGGACUUGGUUGUAUUAGUUCAUGUUUUGUCCACAUUUGUCGCUGAUGUCACAUAUGUUCCGAUCGAAACUUUAACGUCAAUGAAAAAUUAUUCUUACCAAUGAUUGUAGAAUGUAACAAGCUUUAUUAUUUGACUAGUUUGGAAUAGUUUUAUUAACUUUUAACUGUUAUAGUAUUUCUAUCGAAUAAAAAUUUAUGUGGAAAGUAUACAGAUUUGAUAUUUAUAUUAGAUGCUAAUUGUAAUAUGUAAAAAAUCUAUCAUUAUAUGCUUUCCACAUAAAUGAAAAUAGUCUACAAGAAGAAAUGGAAUACAAUGUAUAAAUUAAUACUACUAUGAUUUAUAUGUCAUAUAAAUCAAAUUAUAUUAUUAAAUCUAUCGAUGAAGUAAGAAUUUUAAUUAUAAUGCGUCAAUAAUAAAUUCAAUAGAUAAACUUAUAAAAGUUAUGAAAUUAUAGAGCUAUGGGCUAUUAAUUAUUUUAAAUCACAAAUAAAAAAGCUGCCAACACAACUUACUUCGAACGAAUUCGACGAAGGUACAUGUGCAUUUUAGUGAAUUGUUAAUCGUAAUAUAGUCGUUUAUAAUUUUAGGAAUAGAUGUACUCUAUAAUAUAAUUAUUAUUUCGUUAGAUCGAACAAAAAUUGUAUGUAUGUAAUUUUAAUAAUAUACAACUGUUUUAUUAUUUGUCUUGCCACGGUACCUCACAAGAUUUUAACAUUACAAAUUGUAUAAUGACUCGUGAAGUCUCUUAAACCAUCUAAUCCAAUAGCGUAAACAUAAUAUGUUUGAGAUCAUAUGUGUAACUUUACACUUUCAAUGUUUCGAGGGCAAAUCUUC